UACGAAGGGGACUAGCGUUGUUCGGAUUUACUGGGCGUAAAGCGCACGUAGGCGGCUUUGCAAGUUAGAGGUGAAAGCCCGGAGCUCAACUCCGGAAUUGCCUUUAAAACUGCAUCGCUAGAAUUGUGGAGAGGUGAGUGGAAUUCCGAGUGUAGAGGUGAAAUUCGUAGAUAUUCGGAAGAACACCAGUGGCGAAGGCGACUCACUGGACACAUAUUGACGCUGAGGAGCGAAAGCGUGGGGAGCGAACAGG
rnacentral:rRNA from 1 species